UUUUUUUCUUGACACGAACUCCUCAGAUGUCCAAACACCACGGAAUUUUGAACGCACCUUGAAGACAUGAGCAUCUUGGGUGCCUGAAUUUUUUAGUUUUUAGUUUAUUUUAUUUAUUUAUUUGAAUCUACUGUUUAUGGCCUGGUGUGAAUGCCAGUAGGUGAACGGCCGAUCAACCGACGUGAGUGUGGGCAGCUGGCUGACCACGUCCCCUGUGAUUGUCUGGAUCCUUGAAACGACGCGGGAAAAAGGGGUUUUGUACGGAAAUCCGUGUUUUCUUUUUUGACAUGAACACCAUGCAUUCCAUUAACUAGUGGCGACUAAAUGGUCAGCCACAACACACAAUACAUCAGGCGGUAAGUCAGUGAGCCACAAGCGGUCACCUCCCGAUCCCAACCUAAAACCAUGACAAGCUAACAGAUGGGCAAGUUUGUUAAUUACAUUCUCGGCGAUCAAACAGAACUUUAAAAUCGAUGAAACCCAUUUGGAGAAGGAACUUGGACUCCCUAAAAAGACUCCCGAGCUGGCUUGCUUCAGUGGUAGACAAUUAGUUGUGAAGAUCACUCGACCAUUCCGAAAUUCUCACCCAAAGAAAUGGAUUUCAUGAGGGCCACGGCUUCAGCGUGCGUAGCAUUUGAAAGGUUUUUGAGAGUGGCAGCCGAAGCAAAGACGAUGUUCCCCUGCAUAUCCUGGCAAUACACCCCCAACCUCCCGACGCAGAGUGAGAAAAAAACGAAGCAUCAAAAUUAAUUGACACCCAGCCCAUCGGAGGCGGCUUCCAUCUGAUUGGGACAAUGGUCGAAGCCCUUGUUGCAGGUCCAGGAAACUACCCACUCAACCGUUUUUGUCCGAAUUUGAUUAGCAAACUCCGAUGCUGAACUCCUUUUCUCACCAUGCCUGAUAAGGUUCCUCUCAGUCCACCACAACCACAGUAAGCAAACAACCCCUAGCUUUGUCAUAGCCGGCAGAGCAAACACCUUCUCCACGACUUCUAGAGGCGAUGAAGCAGUCAUCAGGUCCAAAGGUAUAUGAUUCAGACCGAUCUCCCUCCAAACGUGUAUGAUUCGGAAAUCCGUGUUGUCACGAGUCCGACGUGGUGAAAGUCCUGACUUUCCCAGACCUCUAGUUUUCAAACGUCCGGAACGAUCUUAACGAUUUUAGUUACGACCGUUGGAUGGCCACAUAAUUUGGUGAACCGGUGUGAUUUGCGUUACUGGAGUGUUGGCAUUAUGCCGAACACCUAGCGGUCGGGCGGGCGGGCGCUCCGGGAUGACUCCUUCCACUCCUCAGCGCCGGACUGGUGUCGUCCUCGCCGUCGCGGAUGCAUACGCCGGCAAGCCGCUCGUACUCUCCGUCGCGGACGCGUAGCCGUCGCCCUGCAUACCACCCAGCUCGCCGGCUGGGGCUGCUCUGCUCUCGUGGAAGAAGAUGCGUCCGUCUCCGGCGAGUGGCGGCACGGCUGCAGGUUCCGAUUGCAUCGUGUGUUGCUUGCACAGGUCGUGGUGGCAGCCGCACCGCUAGACGGCACACACUGGAGCUCGGGUAUGCGGCUGCGGCGACCUGCUUCGCUUCGGCAUCAACCGCAUCUCGGUGCUCUACGGCAACUCCUUCGCUUUCCCCAUUAUUUCCGUUCCUCAACUCUAACUGGUAGGUACUGAACCGUACCCAUUUAGUUGAUCUACUUCAGACUUCAGAGUUGGACAUUAUCCUCUAAAUUUGCCUUGGUGGUUAAAAUUAUCUUCUCUUGUACUACUGUACUACUCAAGUUAAAUCUAUCCCGGAACGCAUGUUGUCGAGAUUGAUGGCUAGUGCACCCUGCCCAUCAUCUCUGGAAAAAAAAAAUCACUGUUCUACUGAAUUUUAA